AAUCAACGCUGGCGGCGCGCCUAACACAUGCAAGUCGAGCGAGAAAGGGAGCAAUCCUGAGUAAAGCGGCGUACGGGUGAGUAACACGUGGAUCAUCUGCCCUUUUGUGGGGAAUAACUUUGGGAAACCGAAGCUAAUACCGCAUAAGCCCGAGAGGGGAAAGCAGCAAUGCGCAGAAGGAGGAGUCCGCGGCCGAUUAGCUAGUUGGUGGGGUAAUGGCCCACCAAGGCAACGAUCGGUAGCCGGCCUGAGAGGGCACACGGCCACACUGGCACUGAGACACGGGCCAGACUCCUACGGGAGGCAGCAGUGGGGAAUCUUGCACAAUGGGGGGAAACCCUGAUGCAGCGACGCCGCGUGAGCGAUGAAGCCCUUCGGGUGU
rnacentral:rRNA from 1 species